AAUCUACCUUCAGGACGGAGACAACAGUUGGAAACGACUGCUAACCCCCGAUGUACCGAAAGGGCAAAUAUUUAUAGCCUGAAGAAGAGCUCGCGUCCGAUUAGCUAGUUGGAGAGGUAAAAGCUCACCAAGGCGACGAUCGGUAGCUGGUCUGAGAGGACGAUCAGCCACACUGGGACUGAGACACGGCCCAGACUCCUACGGGAGGCAGCAGUGGGGAAUUUUCCGCAAUGGGCGCAAGCCUGACGGAGCAAGACCGCGUGGGG
rnacentral:rRNA from 1 species